GAGAACACCUGCGUCAAGGUGCAGCUUCUCUGAAUCUCACUCACCUCAGGAUGUUUGACGCUAACACACUAUGAGAGACAAAGUUCAGCUUUGACAGUCAUUGAAAUGCAGACUUGUCUGUCCUUCACUUCUAGACGUGUGGUGGAACUCGGAGACGCAGGUCUGUCCGGUCCCAGUCUGGAGCUGCUGCCUUCAUCAGCAUGGCUUGGACUGCCUAGGUGAAGGACCUCAAACUCCAUGAAGAUCCAGUCUGUGGACCGGUUCUGAUCCAGACCCGGGUGUUAUGAGGAAAUCUCUGACACAUAGCGGUUCUACUGCUGAGCGUUUCUUUGUUUUAAUCAAAUGUGGUGAAGGGAAGUGAGUGAAACACUAAACUAAUCAGUUUAUAGUUGGUCUUCAAUGAAAGAAGCUUUUUGAUUCUCACCUUGUCUGAGCUCAACACAUUGUAGAUGUGAAACAUCCCAUAAUGCACAGAGGAAAACAGAGAGCAGAAUGAGGCUGCAGUGGUUCACAGUGAGCUUCAAUGUUUCAGUCAGCUCUACAAUCAGGAGGAAUUUGAUUUCAUUUCUAGUCUCAAUGAUCAGUAAAGGUUUAGCAGGGAUUGGUGGCUGUUACUGAGCCGUUUUUCUUCUUCUGAAGCUGAAAUUUACAGAAACUCCAACAUGACGUUUGUAGGUUGAUGUCAGUUUUUAACAUCUAUAAAAUUAUUAUCAAGUUGAGUUUUCAAUUCAGAAAGUUAAAGCAGAGUUUUAACUCUUACAAAUGUAAAACUGGAGCACUUCCCCCUCUUGUGGCUACAAUUUGUAUUACAUACAAGCUUUAACUGGUCAUUUGUUUUAAUUCUUCUAAACUU